rnacentral:rRNA from 1 species
AACGAACGCUGGCGGCAGGCCUAACACAUGCAAGUCGAACGCUCCGCAAGGGGAGUGGCGCACGGGUGAGUAACACGUGGGAACCUACCUUCUGGUACGGAACAACCAAGGGAAACUUUGGCUAAGACCGUAUACGACCUCCGGGUGAAAGAUUGAUCGCCGGAAGAGGGGCCCGCGUCCGAUUAGGUAGUUGGUGAGGUAACGGCUCACCAAGCCUUCGAUCGGUAGCUGGUCUGAGAGGAUGACCAGCCACACCGGGACUGAGACACGGCCCAGACUCCUACGGGAGGCAGCAGUGGGGAAUAUUGGACAAUGGGCGCAAGCCUGAUCCAGCCAUGCCGCGUGAGUGAUGAAGGCCUUCGGUUGUUAAG